rnacentral:lncRNA from 1 species
AGCAAACAAGAGCGGAUGACCUACGGAGGCAGAGAUGUUUAAUAGUCUCCUACAUGAUACAUGAUAUCAAGACAGUGAGGAGAAGAGGAAGGAAGGACCUUGAAUUAUAUUUAGAAAGACAACAGCGCUUGCCCUCGACUCGAAGCCGUCAUGCCGCUUGUCACAGAAGGUUCCUCCGCCAGGCACCAGAGAUAAGCGAGCCCCGGCCGAGAGUGGUAUAAACAACAUCCGCCUUAUAUAUGCAGCGACUGACCAAGUGAGACAAGAGACAAAAAAAAGAAAAGAAAAAAAAAGUGAGGACACUUGAAGUAAAGAGAGAGAGAGAGAGAGACAUGCGGUUAAGAUACCAUUCGCGUGGGUAUGUUUGAGGUAUUUAUAUCUUUACUUCAUUUGUUCCUGUUUUUGCACAGGUGUCUUCGUUGUUUCGUAUAGCUAGGAGCUAUUCAUAACCUUUUUCUUUAAAUAUUGGUCGAAUAAACUCUG